rnacentral:tRNA from 1 species
GCCGAAAUAGCUCAGUUGGGAGAGCGUUAGACUGAAGAUCUAAAGGUCCCUGUUUAAAUCCUGGGUUUCGGCA